rnacentral:rRNA from 1 species
UUUCCGGUUGAUCCCGCCGCCGGACACCGCUAUCAAGUUCCGACUAAGCCAUGCGAGUCAAGGUAUCGUAAGAUGCCGGCAAACUGCUCAGUAACACGUGGAUAAUCUAACCUUGAGUAAGGGAUAACCUCGGGAAACUGAGGAUAAUACCUUAUAAUUGCUUAAAACUGGAAUGUUUAAGCAAUAAAAGUUCCGACGCUCAAGGAUGAGUCUGCGACCUAUCAGGUAGUAGGUGGUGUAAUGGACCACCUAGCCUCAGACGGGUACGGGCCCUGGGAGGGGUAGCCCGGAGAUGGACUCUGAGACAUCAGUCCAGGCCCUACGGGGCGCAGCAGGCGCGAACACUGUGCAAUGCGCGAAAGCGCGACACGGGGAGCUUGAGUGUCUUGGCAUAGCCAAGACUUUUCUCAUUCCUAUAAAGCAUGAGGAAUAAGUGCUGGGUAAGACGGGUGCCAGCCGCCGCGGUAACACCCGCAGCUCGAGUGGUGGUCACUUUUAUUGAGCCUAAAGCGUUCGUAGCCGGCUCUGUAAAUCUUCAGACAAAUUCUUCUGCUUAACGGAAGAUCCUCUGGAGAGACUGCAGAGCUAGGGACCGGGUGAGGUUGAAGGUACUUCUGGGGUAGGGGUAAAAUCCUGUAAUCCUGGAAGGACGACCGGUGGCGAAGGCGUUCAACUAGAACGGAUCCGACGGUGAGGAACGAUGGCUAGGGGAGCAAACCGGAUUAGAUACCCGGGUAGUCCUAGCUGUAAACACUGCCCACUUGGUGUUGCUUCUCCGAUUAAGGGGGAGCAGUGCCGGAGCGAAGGUGUUAAGUGGGCCGCUUGGGGAGUAUGGUCGCAAGGCUGAAACUUAAAGGAAUUGGCGGGGGAGCACCGCAACGGGAGGAAUGUGCGGUUUAAUUGGAUUCAACGCCGGG